GGUUACUUUCCUUUUCCCAUUAGGAUCAUCUCCUCCUUGAAUUCCUCUUCUAGCAUAUUUCACCUUUGGUGCCACACAUUGGUCUCAGGACCCACUUUGGAUACCCUUUCGGUGACAUCUCAUUGAGCAGUUCUCAACCCAUGCCGCUUAAAUUUCUAUGUUGUCUGCCCCACAGAUUGCUAUAACUCCUGGUUUGGAGUUCCCUUAUCAACCAUAGAUCCAACCUUGCCCCACCCAAGCUCUUCACCAAGAAGACAGAUUAAACACAAAGCUGAGCUCCUGUAAACUCAGCUUGUGGUAGGCAUGUGAGCAGAACUGGAGCAAGUUCACAUGGCCGUGGGAGAUCUGCAUGGUAGGCUUCUACCUGACAUAGCCUGAGCUUCAGGAAGUCGUGCCUGCUGAGCAUCCUCGAGGGGCCGUGGUUACGCCCACACUAUUGCAUUCCCUGAAAGGCAAACUUCUGUCCUACUUUUUCUGUGACUCACUCGGUGCCUGUUCCCUCUUGGAAUUAACCCAAGGAAAAGAGUCCUCUCAGCAAAACAAAGUUAGCUUGCUUCCUUGUGUGUGGCCUGCUUAUUUUAUUUUUUAGAGCUAUACUUCAGAAGUGCAGAGCAGCCUGAGGGCCCUUUUUCUCCAUUUUAUUUUGUGUGUCUUCUUAAAAAUUGUAUCUUGGCUAGAACUACUCUUUCUUCCUUGGUGGUUUUAUAACUCACAAGGUGAAUGGUGAUACCCUGAAAGAUCAACAGGAAUACCCUCAGGGUGGGAAUAUAAAUCUAGUCCCUCUUACUCUAUCCUGCCCAGAAGUGGAAAUAUGAUCCUUCCAUUAUAAAAUAAAGAAUGGUCCUAAGAUUUGAGAACUCCAAAAGGACUUAGUGUUACGGAAUAAAGGUGAACAACCAUUUGGGACUGUUUAUCUACUUGCUAUCUCUCUUUUGAGAGAGAAUAAUGUCUCAAGAGCUCCAUUCUCUGAUGCCUGCAGUAUGUUAUGAAUCAGUAGAGAAUCUUUCUGUCUGUGCUUGGAUCUUGGGCUGGAAGUGUCAGGAAUUAUUGCUUCCCGGGAGCGUGCCUUAACCAAUGAUGCUUAGGAGUUGGUAUACAAAUGUUUCAACUCCUUCACCGCUCAAGUGGAAUGAUUCUGAGAAUUGUAUCCCUAAUAAAGUGCAAGCAAAUAGCUCCAGAAGCCUCAGCUCUGCUUUCUGCUGAACCCAAGUUAUAAAUGAUGUGAACUUGGAAAAGCUCUAAGGCAGCCCAGGAAAAGGCAGACAAGAAACCAUCAUGAAUGGGUGCUGCAUGAGCAGAGAUUGUCAAGAAAAUGGGAUGGUAAUUUGCAUAGGUCCACAAAGCGAACAUUGAUUUGAAGUGUUCCUGUGAAUGGCCAGUAGACAGGAUAUAGAAACAGACAGGAAAUCAUAAAGUGGAGAAUGGUGUAUAAGAUGGAGUUUCAGCCUGGGGAAGUACAUAAAAUAAUGCCAUGUCAAGGUCAUAAGAACUUCGACAGUCAGGGAGAUGACAAAUAGAAAACUGAUUCAUAAAUCCUGAAAUAAAAUAUUACUACCUAAACUCUAAAUCAGAUGGCCACCAGGUCAAAAAUAAAUUACAAGGUGAAUCUAAUGUAGCUAUGUAAUUAAAAAUUGGCCAUGUUGAUGAGGCAAGAAAUUUUGGCAAUAACAGUAAUGAAGGUGUCAGGGCUCAGAAAAUGACAUGCCAAAUUAUGGCACUUUAGUGUGCUGAGUACUUUGAACUAAAGGAGAUUGGAAUGCCUCAGAAGCAAAGCCACUCUAUCCCCCACCUUUCUGUGUAGGUGUAUAGCAGAUGCAUCUGACAGCAAUAACUUAAGCAUACCCUGAGAAAGACCCUCAAGUCUAAGAAGAAUGUGUGUUUGGAGUUCUGAGCUAAGAAAUCCAGGAGUGGCAAACCUAGAGAUUCGCUCCUUGUCUAUGAAGGACAUAUGACCCCCUGGCCCAUGCCUUGGAAUGCAGGCCAUAUAGGGGAUUAAGGUCCUUUGUUUUGGGUUAUAUGGAGGUUGUUAGGUGGAGGGUGGUAGCAGGUUUUCAGUCCAGCCCACCACCACUGUACUGCCCCAUAUGUAAGUCCUCAGUAAACCCUAUGUGUCAUCUGCUGGUUCCGGGUCUCCUCUCUUCUUCCGCUUCUAGGACAUGGUGCUAUCCCUAUUGGAGUCAGUAGGUCUGGCACAACAGUAGGAGCUGGCCAUAAAGAAAUUCUCUGACCUACCUUGUCUGAUAGCAGGUCAUAAGAUCCUUAUUCCAGAGGGGUCCUGCCCCAUACCUGGGAGAAAGGAAUGCUACACAGAGGUCAAGGAGAAGCCAAACAAGCAGGACUUAAUGGGUUUCCCACUCCGUCUAUUGCCAUUAGAUCAUACAUUUUUUGUGUGGAAUCAUAUUUCUACAUGGUUGUCCAUUCUUCAUGAAAACUAAGAAUAAAAGUAGACAAUUUUCC
rnacentral:lncRNA from 1 species